rnacentral:rRNA from 1 species
GGUUUGAUUAUGGCUCAGAUUGAACGCUGGCAGGAUGCUUUACACAUGCAAGUCGAACGGCAGCACGGACUUCAGUCUGGUGGCGAGUGGCGAACGGGUGAGUAAUAAUAUCGGAACGUGCCUAGUAGCGAGGGGAUGUGCUACGCGAAAGCGUAGCUAAUACCGCCGCCCUUCGAGGAAAGCAGGGGACCUUCGGGCCUCGCACUAUUAGAGCGGCCGAUAUCGGAUUGGCUAGUUGGUGGGGUAACGGCUCACCAAGGCGACGAUCCGUAGCUGGCACGAGAGGACGACCAGCCACACUGGGACGGAGACACGGCCCGAAGACUCCACCGGGAGGCAGCAGUGAAAUUUUGGACAAUGGGGAAACCCUGAUCCAGCCAUCCCGCGUGUGCGAUGAAGGCCUUCGGGUUGUAAAGCACUUUUUUGGCAGGGGAAAGAAACGGCUGGGAUAAUACCCCGUGCAACUGACCGGUACCUGCAGAAUAAGCACCGGCUAACUACGUGCCAGCAGCCGCGGUAAUACGUAAGUGCAAGCGUUAAUCGGAAUUACUGGGCGUAAAGCGUGCGCAGGCGGUUCCGGAAAGAAAGAUGUGAAAUCCCAGAGCUUAACUUUGGAACUACGUACAACUACCGAGCUAGAGUGUGUCAGAGGAGGUGGAAUUCCGCGUGUAGCGAGUGAAAUGCGUAGAUGUAUGCGGUACCGGUGGCGAAGGCAGCCUCCUGGGAUAACACCGAAGCGCUCAUGCACGAAAGCGUGAGCCGACAGGAUUAGAUACCUGGUAGUCCACGCCUAAACGAUGUCAACUAGCUGUUGGGGCCUUCCGGGCCUUGGCCCGCAACUAACGCGUGAAGUUGACCGCCUGGGGGAUACGGUCGCGAAUUAAAACCAAAGGGAAUUGACGGGGACCCGCACAAGCGGUGGAUGAUGUGGAUUAAUUCGAUGCAACGCGAAAAACCUACCCUUGACAUGUCUGCCGGAAUCCCGAAAGAGGAUUUGGGAGUGCUCACUGCGAAGACCGGAACACAGGUGCUGCAUGGCUGUCGUCAGCUCGUGUCGUGAGAUGUUGGGUUAAGUCCCGCAACGAGCGCAAGCCAUGAUAGUGAGUUGCUACGAAAGACACUCUAAUGAGACUGCCGGUGACAAACCGGAGGAAGGUGGGGAUGACGUCAAGUCCUCAUGGCCCUUAUGGGUAGGGCUUCACACGUCAUACAAUGGUCAGACAGAGGGUCGCCAACCCGCGAGAGAGGAGCCAAUCCCAGAAACCCGAUCCGUAGUCCGGAUCGCAGUCUGCAACUCGACUGCGUGAAGUCAGAAUCAUAGUAAUCGCGGAUCAGCAUGUCGCGGUAGACCGAUUCCCGGGUCUUACAUACACACCGCCGUCACCAUGGGGGUGGGUUUUACCGAAGUAGUUAGCCUAACCGUAAGGAGGGCGAUUACUGCGAUAGGAUUCAUGACUGGGAAUUGAAGUCGUAACAGGUAG